AUUGAACGCUGGCGGAAUGCUUUACACAUGCAAGUCGAACGGUAGAGGGGGCAACCCCUUGAGAGUGGCGAACGGGUGAGUAAUAUAUCGGAACGUGCCCAGUCGUGGGGAUAACGUAGCGAAAGUUACGCUAAUACCGCAUACGAUCUAAGGAUGAAAGCGGGGGAUCGCAAGACCUCGCGCGAUUGGAGCGGCCGAUAUCAGAUUAGGUAGUUGGUGAGGUAAAGGCUCACCAAGCCAACGAUCUGUAGCUGGUCUGAGAGGACGACCAGCCACACUGGAACUGAGACACGGUCCAGACUCCUACGGGAGGCAGCAGUGGGGAAUUUUGGACAAUGGACGCAAGUCUGAUCCAGCAAUGCCGCGUGCAGGAUGAAGGCCUCGGUUGUAACUAGUCUUUGUUACGGACGAGACGGUGAGC
rnacentral:rRNA from 1 species